AUGCAGCCUUCUUUGGUGGUGCAUCCCAAACAGGCUCCCCACCAUGGACCCACAGCUGAGGGCUCAUGCUACGUAGAUCGUAUCUACGAGGCCAUCGUCGAUGGAGGGCAGAAACCACGGGUGUCUACGCCGUCGGGCAGCUCAGCUAAGACUGGCGGGUUUUAUAUUGGAUGUGAGAUGCAGCAGCGCCUGGUCCCUUACCCUUUACGGCCAGGAGAGACGGUGUGUUUGCCAAAGAAGUUUGGCAGCAGUGGCGCGGUGAUUGCUGUCUCAUUCCCUAGUACCUGGACUCUAAUUGGCUCCGAGGCCCUCUGUGUCUGCCACUGCGAGAAGGUAAUACAAGAACCCAAGGGUCCUCGUUCAUCACGUUGGAUCAGCACGUCCAUGAACCCGACCCGCAGGCAGACUGGGGAGAGCCCACUGGCCACUCUACUCAUGCUGGGCAGAGUACCAGUGUCAAUUAAACUUGGUCAGAGCCCUGUGCUCUUUCAGGAUGGGACUAAGCUUUGUGCCAGAUAGAUGCUGUGGCUGUAGAAAUGCUUGCUCCACAUGCUUUGCUGCAGGCCAUCCUCGAAACGGAGCCUGAAACCUUACCUAGCUCCAUCCUUUCGCGCCUAAUGAAAAGAGGACAUGCCAACAAUCUGGAGUUCAUUCUUCCUUUCUCAUGUGGGGCAAGAUCUACGACAAUGAAUGGGUUGAUUAACGUGGACAGUAAUAAAUUGUUAUCCAGCUGUUGAUACCCUGUCUCCGACGGGGGACACACCCCUCUCAUCUCCCCUCACAUUCAGUGGGAUCAUUCCCGAGGUCUGGGACGUGGCCCAAGGUGGAGGACCUUCCCUGCUGGCUCGGGGGGAUCCACCUCAGCCAUUGUGUAUCAAUAUCGUUUUUGAAUGUUUUGUGCAGACAUGAAUCCAGAGUCUCCUGAUUACUACAUGAUUGGCCACUGCAUUUAUGACGUCGGGUGCUGUACCCAGCCCACAGGAUACCUGGUUCUGGCCUGGAGGACUCUGGAUUGAGGAUCUCUUGGUGCAGUCAUGGAGCACACACCUGUUACAUUUGAAGAACGUCACUAUCCAUAGAGCCACCAUCCUACGGGCCAAGACAGGGUCUGUCCAGCUGGAGGUGCGACACAUGCCCGCCACUGUAACCAGUGUUGUUGAGGUGUCAAGAGAAUGAAAUCUGGCCGUCAGUGGGUGAACUCAUGAUCGCACUCUGAUAUCCUUGGUAGUCUCAGAAGAUUCUAAACUGCUUUUGGAAAGCGGGGGGACAUCUACAAAGAGCUGCGUAUGCGUGGAUAUGACGACGGCAAGACUUUCCCGGGAAAUCUGGAGUCUAAACAUGCGGGUGACUGUGGAAAGCUUGUCACUGGACAGGUAAACUGGGAGCCGAGUUCUACGACACCAUGACUGCAUAAUGAGUGUAGUGGGGACGGCCCUGGUCGCAGCUUGAGACUGCCCACUCGCAUAGCGCUCUGUGUAUGUGGACCCCAAAAACUUUCAUGAGGACGAGGCGUAAACGAGAUAUUGCAGAUGGCCAGAAAGCUGUGGACGUUCAUGUCAAAACCGUUCACCUGACAACAUAACAGCUGGGAGGAGAGUUCAGAUCUGUGGGCUCAUGCCACUGUAGCACCCCGUCGCCAACAGCAGCAGACUCCGCCCACUUUGGAGGAGUUUGUCUUUGUUCGCUAUGUGGACUCCAGGAUUGCCUGAGGAACCAAUGAAAAACUUGGAGGACCAACUGAGACUUUGCAAAGGUCUCGUACAGCGCCUGCAGAGGAAGUUGGCAAAUCAAGGGAGUGAGGAUAUCAAUCCCUGGGUUAGAAGGUUUCGGCUUCGAUGGCCCAGCUGAUUGCACGAGCUGAGGCAGAGAAUGGAUGCCUGUUGCGGUUGCCUCUCUGUGCGUGUGCGGACUGGAACUUGAACGGAAACCUGCGCUCUGAGCUGGAACAGACGGUUAGAGAAGGAGAGAGAGACGGGUCUGUGUACUGCAGGACACUCUGCCUCUCAUGCGCCUUCUUGACUCCCAGGCGCUACGUCCCUACACUGCUUUGACACGGCCCUUGAGAACAGCACUCCGGAAAAACUCAAAGUUGUGGAGGCUUCUAGACGACGACGGUCGGGUGUUUUUUCCCUUUCCCGCGAAAACUGGUUUGGUCGUCCUCAAAUAUCCAUCCGAUGUUGCGUCCGACUUUACACUGUUCAGGACGUCUCCUCAUUUGAACAACCGUUCUGCACACCAGAGACUCCAUUUGGCAAGAGCAGGCAAUCUCAUCUCUUACAGUGGGACCCUCUUCAGGGCCCAGCACACAGUGGUCGGGAUGGGGCUCUGAACGGGUUGAGGCACUGUAAGCCGAGUCAUCUGAUUAUCCCCAUCUGGCUCAUUGCCACUAAAAGGUCAUAAUGGAGUGGUGGGAAUGGUGAAUUGCUCAGGCAGGAAGCCUGGAGGCAAUUCUUAUACGUGUUUGCAUGGGGUUUCUAAUCUAAGUAAGGGUGCUGAAGUCCCCUCCUCUUGUUCCUACCCAAAAAAGAGAUGAAGACCAUUACUAAAGAAGGAUCUUGUCUAGAAACGUGUACCGUGAUGGGACAUUGGGGGAAUUUUUUAGACACCAGUUGUUAACACAAGAUCUUCGUGAGGAGUUGACAGAGCAGGCAGUACUGUGAAUGUACCUGACUCGCGGGUGACUCUCUCAUCGCUGCGGAUGGUGGCGUCCCCGGCUCUGUUUCAUUUUGUCCCUUCCAAUCCCAACGUGCAAUCUCUUGCCGGGUUUACUACUACUACGUACUCCUCCCUCAAAUUCAGAGACAUCAUGCGGGCCACCGGCAAACGGGCCUCCAGAUGCCAUCCCUGGUUUGUACCCCAGCCUGUUUUUGACUCAGUGCUGCUGGGAAUGGAGGUUUUCAGGGGCGAGACCCCAGUGGGCGAGACGUGUAAUGGGUUUGCUGCCAGCUAAAGGUCUGGCCACAUGUGUGGAUGCCAGACAAGCGUUCCUUUGGGAUGUUCCAUCUAGCGCUGUGUUUAUGUGCAGGACACUGGAGCAGGACCCCUGCCUCUAUUCCUUGUGGUGUACGCCACCGGCCUAUUAUUCCCUAGUGGUGCGAGGGCGGCUGAGGCCUGGGUGAAAGUGUGUGAUCCAUUCAGGCUCUGGAGGGUUGGACAGGCCGCUAUUGCUAUUGCACUUAGUAUGCGCUGCAGAGUCUUCACAAACUGCUCUGGAGAGAAGAAGGCGUACCUGCAAGAAAGAUUUCCUCAGAUUACGGCAGAAUCUUUGCUAAUUCUAAGAGACGGCCUCAUUUGAACAGCAUGUAAUGCUCCAAACUCACGGGCAAGGAGUUUGAUUUGGUAUUAAAUCCCUUGCUGAAGAGAAGCUGCAGGCCAGCUUGCGUUGUUUUGGCCAGACAUGGUCGUUUCCUGGAGAUCGGCAAAAUAUGGACCUUUCCAAACAACACACCACUAGGUAUGGCUCUGUUCCUGAAGAACGUGGCCUUCCACGGGCAUCCUGCUGGAUGCGUUUGUUUGAGGAGGGGAAACAGGGAAUGGGAGGAGGUAUCUGAGCUUCUGAAGAAGGGAAUCGCUGGUGGUGUAUGUUCAAGCCAUUACGUACCACUGUCUUUGAGAGGACAACCAGGUGGAGGACGCCUCUUCCGUUACAUGGUCAGGGCAAACACAUACAUCGGCAAAGUCCUGUACGGUCAGCAGAGUAGGAAAAGCACCACUGUUCCUACAUGUGGUCUCUUCCAUUUCCUUUUUCUAUUCACGCUAUUCCCGCUAUCUUCCGUACUUCUUCCCUGCCCUCUCUCUCGCUACAUCAUCACUGGAGGCUUGGAGUGGUUUCGGGUUGGAGUUGGCCCAGUGGCUUACUGAGAGAGGGUGCUCAUAAGCUGGUGCUGACGUCACGUUCUGGCAUCCCCGCAACGGUUAUCAAGCCAAGCGUAUUCGAGAGUGGCAGGCCAUGGGCAUUCAGCGUUCUUGUCGGUCCACUAGUGUGUCAUCUCCAUGGCAGGGACGGAGCGUUCUCAUCACCGAGGCCUGCCGCUUGGGUCCAGUUGGUGGCAUCUUCCCACUUGCCUUUGAUGGUAAUGUCCUUAAAGACGGCAUGCUGGAGAGAAUCGACCCCCACAGCACUUCAUUUGAUGUCAACAGACCCAAAUACGAUGGAACCAUUCAUCUUGACAGUGUGACUAGGCAGAAGUGCCCAGAACUUCAGCACUUUGUGGUGUUCAUCAUCGGUCAGCUGUGGCCGUGGUAACGCUGGCCAGAGCAACUACGGCUCGCCAACUCCACCAUGGAGCGAGUGUGUGAGCAGCGCCGCCAUGGACAGCCUGCCGGGCCUGGCCAUCCAGUGGGGUGCCAUUGGAGAUGUGGGUGUUGUCUUGGAGACCAUGGGUGGCAAUGAUGCACAGUGAUUGGUGGUACGUUGCCCAACGCAUGUCUUCCUGUUUGGAAGUCCUGGAUAGGUUCCUGUGCCAGCGGAGGCCUGUAAUGUCCAGCUUUGUGUUGGCGGAGAAAGUGGUGGUCGCUAAAGGAGAAGGAAGUGGACAGAGGGACCUGGUGGAGGCUGUGGCUCAUAUUCUGGGUGUGCGUGAUGUGAACAGUCUGAAUGCCGAUGCCUCAUUGGCUGAUCUGGGUCUCGAUUCGCUGAUGGGUGUUGAGGUUAGGCAGACACUGGAGAGGGGGACUACGACAUUGUCAUGGCAAUGAGGGAAAUCCGACAGCUAACCAUUAAUAAGCUACGGGAGCUUUCCAGCCAAUCAGGAGGAAAAGAGGAGUCCCGAGCUGCUCCUGCAAAGCGAUCUGGUGCUCAAGUUCUGCUGGAGUCAGAUCUGAGCCGGAUGCUGGUGAACCCAGAUGACCCCACGGUGGCCCCACUGAAUGAGGUCCAGAGUGCCGAAAGGCCCUUAUUCCUUGUUCACCCCAUUGAGGGCUCUAUUGCUGCCUUCCGCACUCUCACAAGCAGCUUAGUGUGCCAUGCUUCGGCCUGCAGUGCACCAAAGCCGCUCCUCUAGACAGUAUCCAGAGUCUUGCCGCUUAUUACGUGGAGUGCGUGAGGCAGGUGCAGCCAGAGGGGCCGUAUCGCAUCGCUGGUUACUCGUUCGGUGCAUGUGUGGCUUUUGAGAUGUGCUCACAGCUGCAGGCAGCCAAAUGCCCAGUGGAAUACCUCUUCCUGUUUGACGGCUCGCACUCUUACGUGGCAGCUUAUACACAGAGUUACAGAGCCAAACUGACCCCUGGAAAAGAGUCCGAGGCUGAGACUGAAGCUCUGUGUGCUUUUAUCCAGCAGUUCACUGGGAUUGAGUACAACAAGCUGUUGGAGACAUUGUUACCUCUGUCAGACCUGGAGGCUCGUGUGAACAAGGCUGUUAAUCUGAUCACACCCAGCCAUAAGAAUGUCAGCCAAGAUAUGCUCCAUUUUGCUGCUUCUACAUUUUACCACAAACUGAAGGCUGCAGACCGUUAUGUUCCAACUUCUAAGUAUCACGGCAAUGUCACCCUGCUGAGAGCCAAGGCCAGCAGUGAGUACGGUGAUGGUUUAGGAUCUGACUACAAACUGCACGAGGUGUGUGAUGGGAAGGUGUCAGUUCAUGUGAUCGAGGGAGACCAUCGGACCUUCCUAGAGGGAGAGGGUGUGGAGUCCAUCUCAGGCAUCAUCCACAGCUCACUGGCUGAACCCAGAGUCAGCACCAGAGAGGGCUGAACCUUUCUGGCAAACAUCUUUUACUUCUUUUUCACCCUUUCUCUGUUGUUUCACCUGAUAAACCAAAACUGUGUCACGGUGUAUUAAAGCAUGCACGUUUAUGAUCUCUUCGUACCUCUCACCCACAUGACAGCCUUUUCCUUCUCCUCUUUCUAAUUCUCUUGAUAUCUUAGUUGCUUAUCACCCUUUCCUUCUCACUUAAAAAUUUAUAUUCCACGCUGAGAACAAAAGCGCAUGUCUGUUUACUUGCUUUGUUUAAGAUUCAAUCAGCUGUUCAUUGUCUUCUAUAAAUCGUCAUACGUUACUGUGAAAACUAAAAUAUCACUAAUUUCUAGCAUGGGAGCAUAGUUAAGUGCCAAUAUGUAGUGAUCACUGCAUAACCUGCAUAAGUCUGCUAAAGGUUCUGUCAAAACUGCAUUCAUGUUCAUAUGCAUUUCUAUAUCUAACCUAAUGAUGCGGACUGCAAGUCAAGGCCUCGCUGUACUCAAAUCCACAUAUUAGACAUCGCGAAUCUAGUUGCACACAUAGCUGAGAUCGUUGUUUACCAAUCGUGAGUGGUUACUGAUGCUUUAGAAGUACUAGUUAAAAUCGCCUAUGUUUACUGUAGCAUUGUUUGAUAUUUGCUGUUUCUCUUGUUAUUGCUGAACAUCUAAAAUUAUGCUGCAAUAAUUGUGUAUUUAAAAGGGAAGAUAUGUAUGAAAAGAACAUUCCUGGAUGAGAGUAACCAUUGAGAGAUCUGGUUAAUUGAUUUAUUAUUAAUGUUUACGUUGAAGUUAGAAGUUAAUAAUGGAAUAUUUGUUACUUAAAAAAAUAGAUAUUGUCUCACUGUGGCACAAGCUAAAAAAAAAAAUUCAAAUAUGACACUGAUUUGAAAUGCUUGGCAGUCCAGAGUGAAUUAUCUCGGCUUGUACUGAAAUGAUGCUUCACUGCUUAAUUGUAGACCAAUAACUGGAGUAUUAAUAUUGUAUUGACGUGUCUAAUCCUCUUUUUGAGGACUUGUUCCAGGUGUCUCUCAGAUGUAUAUGUUCUCCCAAAACGAUCUGUAAUUAAUUGACUGCUUUAAUACUUAAGGUGUUAGCUGUAGUAGAUUUUUGUGGCCAGGUCCACAUUAAACACAAACUCAGUUCAUAGUGCAAAUCAUAUUUUAGUCUAAAUCUGGUCAGAAUCAAGGGUUAUUUGGUGUAGGAGUGAAACUGGGGAUGAAUGACUUUAUCUUUCUGUCACAGCAGAGAAAGGUCUCCUGUUAGAAAGCAAAUCACUACACAUUUCUGAGACUAAGCAUUCCAAGUCGGUGACGAAUUGUGAUUUCUUUCUAUGUUUAGAGCAGAGCUGGGAGAGCUAUAGUGUUUGUUUUUCUAUUAUUGAAAUAUUUUUUUCUUUUGCUGUAAUUUUUCCAGUAUUUAUUGUACUAGUCCAAAUAAAAAGCUACUGUAUUACUAACAUAACA